UGCCAGCAGCCGCGGUAAUACGUAGGGUGCAAGCGUUGUCCGGAUUUAUUGGGUUUAAAGGGUGCGUAGGCGGUCUAUUAAGUCAGUGGUGAAAUCCAACAGCUCAACUGUUGAUGUGCCAAUGAUACUGAUGGACUUGAGUACAGACGAGGUAGGCGGAAUUGACAGUGUAGCGGUGAAAUGCAUAGAUAUUGUCAAGAACACCGAUAGCGAAGGCAGCUUGCUAGCCUGUAACUGACGCUGAGGCACGAAAGUAUGGGGAUCAAACAGGAUUAGAUACCCUGGUAGUCCAUACAGUAAACGAUGAUUACUCGAUGUUGGCGAUACACAGUCAGCGUCUUAGCGAAAGCGAUAAGUAAUCCACCUGGGGAGUACGCCGGCAACGGUGAAACUCAAAGGAAUUGACGGGGGCCCGCACAAG
rnacentral:rRNA from 1 species